UUAGCUCAGUUGGGAGAGCGCCUGCCUUACAAGCAGGUGGUCGGGGGUUCAAGUCCCUCAGCGCCCA
rnacentral:tRNA from 1 species